GGUCCCGGUGGAUGUCCGUUCGACGGGUGACGAGGGUGACCCCAGACGAGGCGGCUUAAUUGGGAUGGGAACUGACUGGUGAGGCUUAAUCGUCGACCAAUGGGUCGAAUCUGCAUAAGGAAGGCAACCAGCACACACUCGCAGGCGGGUCGUGGAAACAUUUUUUUGUUUUUUCUCUUGGUCUGCCCCGCGUCGAAUUUUGAAGGCAGAAAAUGUCGAGAGGAGGCGAGCAUAACCAGGCCUAACUUAGACCUGUUAAAAGACAACCCGGGUUCGCAGCGCGAUUUUAAAAAACAAGAAUGAAGAAGUCAGAAAUUCUAUCUACAUGCUGCAUAUGAUCAGUCCCAAAAAAUUUCGGAUUGUUCCAGGCACCGUCGAAUACCUGGAAAACGUGUUUAUUGUCAACUCUACAGGAUUGAUCGAAGUCCAUGGAGUUGGGGGUAUUCGAUGUGCCCCAUAGCAGUGAGACGCCACUGUUUUUUUCGCCGUAUAAUUAUUAUGGCGGGACUGAAAAUGAACUUAAGCAAGAUGCGAUGGUGAUACGGUAUGGCUUGGAGAACUUCAAAAGUCGGUUAGCGUCGUGGUUCCAAAGCAGUAACUUUAGGUUCUCUACAUUUACAGAAUGUCGCAUUAAGUACUCAUUUUUUAAUUUGCAAUUUUUACAUUCAUUUUUACUUUUUUCUUACUCUAUACAAGGCUUUAAUAUAAAGUUUUUUUAGUAAUAAUAAAUGGGUAAUAAAAAAUAACUCUAAAGAGACACAAUCAGGUAGCAUAUUGUUUUUCUAUUAUAUUUGGAAAUAACUGAGGUCUUAUUUUAAAAUUGAUAAUAUUGUUUAAUUUUUUUAA